GAGGAAAGUCCGGGCUCCACAGGGCAGGGUGCCAGCUAACGGCUGGGCGGGGUAACCCGACGGAAUAGUGCAACAGAGAGCAGACCGCCGCUUCGCUGCUCCGGCAGCGGGCGGUAAGGGUGAAACGGUGGGGUAAGAGCCCACCAGUGCCCCUGGAGACAGGGGGAGCUAGGUAAACCCCACCCGGUGCAAGGCCUACGUGAGGGCAUGCCCUCGCGCACCCCAGGGAGAGCUUGCCCGGCUCGCUUACCUGGAGGGAUUGGCCGCUCGAGGUCGCUGGCGACAGCGAUCCCAGAUAGAUGACCGUGGAAACAGAAUCCGGCUUA
rnacentral:RNase_P_RNA from 1 species